UAGGGAAUCUUCGGCAAUGGGGGCAACCCUUACCGAGCAACGCCGCGUGAGUGAAGAAGGUUUUCGGAUCGUAAAGCUCUGUUGUAAGAGAAGAACGUGUGUGAGAGUGGAAAGUUCACACAGUUACGUUAACUUACCAGAAAGGGACGGCUAACUACGUGCCAGCAGCCGCGGUAAUACGUAGGUCACGAGCGUCUUCCGGAUUUAUUGGGCGUAAAGCGAGCGCAGGCGGUUUAAUAAGUCUGAAGUUAAAGGCAGUGGCUUAACCAUUGUUCGCUUUGGAAACUGUUAAUCUUGAGUGCAGAAUGGGAGCGUGGAAUUCCAUGUGUAGCGGUGAAAUGCGUAGAUAUAUGGAGGAACACCGGUGGCGAAAGCGGCUCUCUGGUCUGUAACUGACGCUGCGGCUCGAAAGCGUGGGGAGCAAACAGG
rnacentral:rRNA from 1 species